UCUCCUACCUACUGGUUGUAUCGCUAAAAGCACGUCCGUACAACUGUAGACGCCGGGUACCCACUGGCUACUUUGGAGGACGGCGGCCAUAGUUGAAUAUCCAGCGUAGAAAGUGCUGGGCAUGAAGUCUCAAAGAAGGGAUCAAACCGUACCCGAGGAGCCAGAGAACGAAGGAGGUCGACGCUGAAGAAUGCAAAAGGAAAGAAGAGGAAUGAAGAA